rnacentral:rRNA from 1 species
CCUACGGGAGGUAGCAGUGAGGAAUAUUGGUCAAUGGGCGCGAGCCUGAACCAGCCAAGUAGCGUGAAGGAUGACUGCCCUACGGGUUGUAAACUUCUUUUAUAAAGGAAUAAAGUGAGGCACGUGUGCCGUUUUGUAUGUACUUUAUGAAUAAGGAUCGGCUAACUCCGUGCAAGCAGCCGCGGUAAUACGGAGGAGCCGAGCGUUAUCCGGAUUUAUUGGGUUUAAAGGGAGCGUAGAUGGGUGGUUAAGUCAGUUGGAAAAGUUUGCGGCUCAACCGUAAAAUUGCAAUUGAUACUGGCAGCCUGGAGUACAGUUGACGUAGGCGGAAUUCGUGGUGUAGCGGUGAAAUGCUUAGAUAUCACGAAGAACUCCGAUUGCGAAGGCAACCUACUAAACUGCCACUGACAUUGAUGCUCGAAAGUGUGGGUAUCAAACAGGAUUAGAUACCCUAGUAGUC